UCGGUAGUGUUUUCGAAAACUCUCACUCUGAAAUGUUGACGGCAUCUGGUCUCAUGGUCGGCUUUGCGUUCGUGGCAAAAACCGCGGAUGAGUCUUGUAGUUACAUAGUGAAUGUUUGCGGCCACGAUUCUGUUGGGCCCCCACUUGCCCGAAGUAUGAACGCAGUGGAUACUGAGUACGUAGAGCACCGCGGAGUCGAUAAUCUUAUUAUCCCCAUCUCCGUCAGCGAACCGAAAGAAACAAAAAGUGGCGAUUACGCAUACUGCGUGGAUGUUGUCGUGCAUACGCUUUUGAUUAAAAAGUGCUCUCCCGGGCACCGCCUUCUUCAACAUCUGACGGAAAAACUGGUGACGCUUUCGAUGGAGUGGAUUCGAAAUGAGUGUGGUGUACAAUUGUUGCCGAGGUCUUGUCGAAUCGCUGGCAACCCCCUUUACUAUGACGACACCGUCGAAACAUCAAAGUCGAUGACUUCGAUAAUCGAGAACGCUGCUGCGCUGCUUCAGAGGAAGUCAAAUAGUUCUUUUACUCGCAAGGACGAGCAAGACACCAUUCCGGAUGCACUUGAUUUAAUGAAGGCACAGGUACCGGAGUGCAAACAACCGCGGAUUCGUGAAGUGAUAUCAACACCAGCGAUCAAAAAAGGGUUUUUGGUAGACGGAAAUGCACGACUUUACGGCCCUGACGGAAGCAGUGAAGGUUCUGGCAAAGCUCCAGACCCUUUGUCACACAUUCCACAAUCACUGCGGGAGAGGUGUCAGAUUAUUGACACACGAAACGUGGAAGGGCUCACCGCUCCCCCUGCUAAAACACUGAAGUCCGUAGAUAAGACGGCAAAUACGCACACUUCCGGCACGAUUGUCGCACCUACUUCUGAGCUUCAAGGAAAAGACGAGGCUAGCUGGGCCCGCUUCUCCAUAGAGCGUACUGGGGAGAAGGUGAUCGUUAGAUUUUUAGUACCUGACAGUGUGUCCUCACUUCAUGACAUUGAUCUCUCUGCAACAAAAGACACACUGGAAAUUAAUGGAAGCGUAACUCAGCUGCCAGUGCCUAUCGUGACGGAUGACGUGCAGGCCAAGUUUGUCAAAUCCACACGGAUCUUGAUCGUGACAUGUAUGAUUGAUGUAUCAUAAAAUAGUCAAGACGAAUUAUUUUUCCACUCAUCCUCAGCAGCCGACUAGUAGCAAAUUCACUCUCCUGUUCG
rnacentral:misc_RNA from 1 species